UGCCCCUGAGAGGACCAGAGCUGGGAUCCCCAAGGAGCCACUUUUUCCCCAACUCGGAAGUCUGCCAGAACAAGUCUCAUCCCCUGACCCCAGGCUGAGGAAGCCUAUACCUGGCCAAGCACUAUGCCAACUGGGAAGAGCCAGCUUUGGCCCCUCUGGCUUAGACCUUGCCACAGAGACUUGAGGAAGCUGCUGAGGUCCCCAGCCUCCAAGGAUGUACCUCUGCAUGACCACACCCAGCUGGAGUGAUGUGUCCAUCUUGAAAACGUCCAGGAUGGAAGCUUCUCUCUACAAGGGACCUAGGAGGACUUGCACUAUGGAAUUCCCGCAGAGGCCUGAGUGAGUCUCAGGCUUGGCUUACCA